UGACUUAGCUGGGUAGUGGGGAACCCUUCCAUGAGGAGUAGAACACUCCUUAUGCAAGAUUCCCUUCUACCUGGCUGGGUUGG
rnacentral:pre_miRNA from 2 species